rnacentral:rRNA from 1 species
UACGUAGGGGGCAAGCGUUGUCCGGAUUUAUUGGGCGUAAAGGGCGCGUAGGCGGUCAGCCCAAGUCGGUUGUGAAAUCUCCGGGCUUAACUCGGAAAGGUCAACUGAUACUGUGCGACUAGAGUGCAGAAGGGGCAACUGGAAUUCUCGGUGUAGCGGUGAAAUGCGUAGAUAUCGAGAGGAACACCUGCGGCGAAGGCGGGUUGCUGGGCUGACACUGACGCUGAUGCGCGAAAGCUAGGGGAGCGAACGGG